AGAACCUUGGAACCAUUGGCAGCUGUUACAUGCUUUUUAAAGUGACUGCUUCGGGCUGGCUGUGUGAUAGCUUAGCUGGUAAAGAACUUACAGGGCCAGAGUUUGACCCCUUGUUUUUUAUUUAUUUAAUUUAUUGUCCAAAAUAUAUAUCUAUCUUGGUUUUUUAUGUAUAUGAGUGUUUGCCUGUGUGUAUGUAAGGCCAGACUCACACACUGGCCUCAGAGACCUGAGAGGGCAUUGGAUCCUCUGGAACUAGAGUUCCAGGCAGUUGUGGGCUGCCAUGUGGAUGCUGCGAAGAGCCGCCAAGUCUUCUGCAGCCCGAACCCAUGUUUUUAUGUUUUAUAGAAACCCAGUGUGGCAUUGUAAGCUUGUAAUCGCAGUGCUGGAUAGACAGAUGAAUGAGUGCUGAAUGCCUAGCUCACCCAGCUUCCUCAGGGACAGCGAGUACCGAUGGCUGGGGGAGUGGCAUUGUAAGACUGAGGAGCCACACCCGAGGUUAUCCUCUGGCCUCCACAUGCACAUGUGCAUACCUGCAUACUCAGAUGUCCAUACACACUCCUCACGCAUGCACACACACACACACACACACACACAUGCUGUUUGAUGUGAAGGCUCUUGUGGGCACUGUUGUUUAAAUUCUUCCUGUGUAGGUGGCCUCCAUGUGGCUUUAGUUUAAAUUGAGGUUUAGAAUGUUGGUUGACUCAGAGGACUUGGUUGAAAUAGACCAGUCCACCUGUCUAACCCAAAGUUGUUCUUAUGUUAGAAACUGGUCUAGUUAAAAUUUGUUUUUACAUAAUGUUUAAAGAGAGCCUUAUCGCAGGGUCUCAGGCAGCCUUCAUCUCAGAGGUCAUACACACAGUGUGUUCUUAAAGGCCAUGUGAACAGCACAUGUUGCUGUUACCAUUCCACAGGUGACCCAAACAAAGCCUAGUGUCCCUGUCCUCUGCUUUCAAGGUCUCCUGAGCAGCAGGUACUGUCAGGUCACUGAAUGAGUGGUGUUUGUACUCAAACUGGCUAAGUAGCCGUCUGAUAGCCAGCAGGAGCACAGACCCAGGAGGUAAGGGCAGGAGACUUUUCUGUACACACCUGGUUUGGGUUUUGUUUUCUUUUUUUUACUACUUCCUUCCUUCCUUCUCUUUUUUAAGACCAGGUCUUACUGUGUGAACCCUGAGUGGCCUAGAACUCACUGAGAUCAUCCACCUUUGCCUCCCAAGGGCUAGGAUUAUUAACGGUGUACACUGCCAUACUCAGCUAAAGAGAAUUGUGCAUUGUUGUUGGUUUGGGGGUUUGGGGUUUUCGUUGGUUGGUUGGUUGGUUUAUUUUGUUUUGAUUUUUAAGAUAGGAUUUCUCUGUGUAGCCUUGGCUGUCCUGAAAUUCUCUCUGUAGAGCAGACUGUCCUUAAACUCAGAGAUCUCCCUGCCUCUGCCUCCUGAAUGCUGGGAUUAAAGGCAUUUGUCACCACCACCAGGCUUAC
rnacentral:lncRNA from 1 species